rnacentral:tRNA from 1 species
GUGGCCGUAGUUCAAUUGGUUAGAGCACUGGAUUGUGGUUCCAGUUGUUGGGGGUUCAAGUCCCCUCGGUCACCCCA